UUCUAUUUACCCAGUUCUUAUCGGAGCCACGCCGGACAGUCGGUCUCCAAAUAGGGACAAGAGCUUCGAUGGUAUGCGUUCACACAGACAGGCUGGAGGUCUGGUUUGGGCUGUCGAAGUGCUCGUGGAGCCUGGUCGAUUUUCCCGAGUGUCGUCGCGACGGUCUAUAUCCGUCACCCGGCGACCCUUUCCGGUGACAGGCUCGGACGAUUUUACGGCCGAGUCAACGAACCCCUGGCAGACACCUACGCGCGGCCAACCAAAUUCACACCCGUCCGGUUAUUAGAAUUCAUGGCCAGCCAAGCAAAGGAACGAGCAAGCAAACGGCAGCAGGGACCGCCGGGACGUGGCCGAGCACCGCAUUUGUUUUGCUACUUACCGCGUCGCUGGUUCUACGCUGCGCCUCGGAGCUCGCCCCUAGUAUAUCGGCCGGGUAUCGACGGGCGAAAUCCUGUUCGUACGCAGCUGCAAUAGAACCGAGCCGUGGACGAAGCACUGGCCUGGGGGGCCUCCUGGAGAAUUUAUUUACACAUCGUCGCCCGCGAGCCGGAGGACCCACUCGAUCUCGUCGCGAUGCGAGGCAGCCGUUUCGCGGCCAGCUUCAAGGAAGAGGAUAGCGCACCCUGGACGUCGACUUUCUUGUCACUGUCGUGCUUCUGUAUCGCGCAGCAGGGUCCUUCGCGGUCUACGAUAUCCUGUAGAGGCAGAGGCAGCCCUCUCUCGUCUCGAGCAGCGAGGAGGAUCUUCGAUCGUCGGAGGGAUCCAGAGGGUGGUUCGCCAAGAAAAUGGACCUACCGAUGAUCCAGUCGUCGGACAACACUCGUGGAAUUGUCUCGCGCGAGGGUGCAAUCUAUGAUAAAUCCUCCGUCCAAUCACAGCGCUGGUACUGGCUCGAGGAUGGAGAUCCUAUAGCGGGCUCCAGGUAUUGUUACACACAGGUCGGUCCGUCGACGGCCCGGUGGCCGGAUCGAUAAUCAGGUUCGCUCUCAAAUCUGGUGGCAGCCAGAGGCGAACGCGUCGCGAGCGUUCUGCAUACGUCGUGGGCCGAGAACGACUCUGUCGAGGUAGCAGCGGCGAGGACGAGGAGGCAUCGUUGCAUCGGAAGUGCGGCGUUCCCAGGUGCGCUUCGAUCGACCGUCACGGCAGCACUGCGCGAAAUUAAAUCACCGCACGAGCCGGCUCCGCAACACCGAGAAAGAACACCAUUGCCACGGCUAAGGGCACGAACAACGCUGCCAAAAACGUGCGUAACCGUCGACCAGGCUAUCCAUGACGUCGCUAGUGAUAGCCGAUGGAUGCGCGCGGCUGCUCCGUCUCUCUCGUACUAGCUUCGCCCGUCGUACCUCCGCUUCGAUCCUCUUCCUUCCUCUCGCGGUCGCCGAUCUAUCCGUCUCCGUCUCGCACGGCGGCGUCUCCUCGCGCGUCCCUUCGACGCUUCCAGCCAGCUGAUCGUUGCGGGAACCCGCGCAGGCGUCGCGACGCUCCGAUAUAUGUUGAACCGCGGGACGUCGUUGGGCGUGCUUGGACGUGCGAGGCCAGGCGAAGCGUCGCGACGCUACGCGGCGCCCCCGGGAUCGUUGUUGAGAAUUUCGCCGCUGGAGGCAGCCCGUCCCGCGUCCCCAGCACACACCGACCAUAUGGACAAAUUGUAACGGGAAUUGGAAUUCCUCGGCCAUGCUGAUCGAUGAUGACGAUGAUGGCCGCUUUGGGGCCGAAAGGAUUUAUACAGGCGGCGAUGCACGCUGCGCUCGUUUGCGAACCUCGCACCGCCGGCCGGCCAGCCCGCCCGCCGAAAAACCGGCGGUCCGCGUCCAAUGUUUUCCGUUCCCGAAUCCCGCUGAGCAUGAUUUAUCCGGCCGCGAUAAAUUCCGCGCGUCUUGCUCGUUAUUUCGCAGCUUUGUUAUUUAAACGAGCACUCGCCGCACCGCUUCGAAUUUAUGAAUGACCCGCUCGAACGCCUCGAGAGACGUUCGGGGGGUGCAGCGAAUUCUGCGCUUCCGCGGCGCGAUUCCACGCGUCCACGCAUUAUUCUCCUUUCGUUCUAUACGCGCGAUACUCGAAUUAUUAAAAAAAGUUCGAACGCUCCGCUUCUAAUCCGCGAGACCGCCGCGUCGGUUGUCACCGGUUAAUUAACCGCUGUACAUUUACGAUCUUCGAAUGCAUUGAACGGUUAAUGUUUUAUACGUUCUCCGGCGCGCCGAACAGCGGAGAAAAGUUUGUAAUCCCCGUGAAUAAUUAAGAACGCAAAGUGGGCUGGUUCCCGUGACUAAGAGUGCUAACUCGUGUAACAUGCUGAAAAUAACGCGGUUUUUAGGAAUGUAUCCCAUGGAAACUUUCCACGGUGCUUUGCAGCCAACGUUGCUGCAUAUUUCAGGGCCUAGAGAAAACAGGUUUCCGAAAUGCGAAUCAGCUAUCGUCGGACACACGCCGCGGUUAUCGCCACACGCGUUCGCCCGAAACGGAAUAAUUAAGAGGCAGCGGAGACGGACGAUCAUUAUUUUUGCUCGUGAUAUCGACGGUACAUCAUUUACUUUCUUACAUUUGACACUUCGUUUCCGAAGCACACGUCGUCCACUUUGACGGCGUAAUCAAUAUUCCUUUCAGUUCCUAGACCGCUGUGUUCGAAAAGAAUUGUCUUUUGUUCGAACCGUUCCGGAGCCAAAUAGCAAUUAGUAUCGCUAAGCGUAAUCGACGAACUUCUUUUCCACUACCGUUAGGCCACGUAGAUUCGAAUCUAAAAGCCUCUCGUUACGUCUGAUACACGGCUGUAAAAUCGACAGUAACUUUGUUAAUAGAUCGCGUUUCAAUCCUCACCUUGGGGAAUCUAUUCGACAGAUGCAGCACUAUCGGCUUAUGCAACAAAGUCGGGUAUGCAGGACCGGUUACGUGAGCCGCAGCCCUUAACGCAGUGCUGUUCUUCCAUCUUCGGUGUCGGCAGCUUGCGGAAUUCGUCUCUGCCAUUUAUUUAUGGAUUUCUCACGCACGGCCAUUAAAGUGUCAAGGGACCCAAACAGUGGACAUUCGGCCAGCCAGCCACCCAGGGCGAUCGUGGUCGCUAGGAAUCUCCUCGAUCAAACAAUUACUCAUCCGGGAUGAAAUAUUCAAUUUCGUAACGGCAAAUCCGAUAUUUCGUUAAUCGAUUACACGGCGGACUCUUUACCGCGACAACUUGUUCGAGGUAGGAGCAGCACCGUGCGACAGAGCCCCGCCACGAUCGUUCUCACUUUCAGCGAUAAAUUUCUUUCGGCCGGAGAACCGUGAAUUCGAUAGAAACGAUCGAGUCGCGGCCCGUUCGCAAUGGGGAGGCUCGGGGCGAAGCGACGAAACCGACGAUAAACAAAUUGAUAAGCAACGCGCGUCACAAAAUUUAAUUGCCGAUGAGCAGACCAGAAUCGGCGGUGACGGGGUCGUGGGGCGCGCGGUGGCGAAUGCGGCGGAAGAGGAAGGGGGACAGGUGGACGGUGAACGGGUGAACCUGCAUCGCGUCGGUUGAUAACAACGGGUUGCGUAACCACGCUCGGAUAGACGGCCAUUCUCGUCGCCGAUUUUACUCUGCACACGAUGAAACAGAUACACCCAUGUCACUGCGAUUGUUUAACAAACGCAGCGAGCGUUUAGAUCGGGCCGGGCUCGGGCCGGAGCCGGAGCCGGUACCAGCGCGCGCGCGGCCUCGCGCUCGCGUCGAGGAGCCUCAGAUAAGAGCUUAUUCCGGCUGCUUGCGCAGCGAAUCUAUUAUCAGCCAUCAGGCCAGAUCGCAUCUGGUUCCGACCACGGUUGACAUGUUUUAUUUACAACGUCGGGAUGUAAUCGGGAGACCCAAUUUCUUCUUGCCCCUUUCUUCAUCGGAUCCCGCGGCGCGAGCGAGCGAGAGCGCCGACGCUCUAUUGAUGACGGCAAUUCCGGCACCGUUGAAGGAAACGGAAACCGUUUCGAUUUCGAGGCCGAGGAACGGCCUCGUAUAUAAUUCUGCUACGGCCGCGGAGAGAGACGCGCUACCGAUCGAAGAAUGCUACCUGCUCCUUGUGCCGUUGUCGCGUAAUUAAUAUUCAGACCGUCGCGCCGCCUCUUGACUGAUCGGGCUGUUUACCUCCGCGGCCUGCGAUCAUCAACCCCUUAAUUGGGGCCGUUAGUCACGCACAUUUGCCGAGCGAAAAAGAAACGCGCGGGCGCGGUGGAAAUUAGCGCGGCUCAUCUAGGACUGAACAAACCAGGCUUCCCCGCGAAUAUAUAACUAAUUAUGCCGGCUCGUUAGAUUUACGGCAGACUCGCGCGUAAAUCGGUUGAAGGCCGAUUUAAGAGCCGUUUUAUAUCAUCCAUUUCAGGCACGGAACGUUUAUGGAACAGCUGGGUUCGGACAGAUGCGUCUAGUAUAUAUAUAUAUCAUGUUAGGCAGCGACAGUCGUCGACAAAUUCUUUCGUUCAACGUACAAUUGUCGGUUAAAAAUGUUUGCACUAUUAUUACACGAAGCGGACGGGAAUCGAAAAAGGAAACGUUGUCCCGCCGUACGUUAUAUAUUAAAGAGAAGAAAAACCGAUGGAGAACGUCGGAUAUAGUUUAAAAAAUUAAUAAAAAGAUCUUCCAGUAUUUUAGAAUGUCUAUGAAUUCAUAAUUUUUCCGAUUUCGUUCCACGCGGACACCAUUUUAUUAUCGUCACUGUAACUUUUCUCUUCUCGAUCGUGCUCGUACAAAAACCUAUAAUCUCUUGCUAACUCUAUUCAUUUUUGGUUAUGCCAGAAUAUAUACAUACGGUACGAAACGUAUUCAGAAACGGAUCGCCUCCGAGUCCGAACCGAUAUAGGCGACCCUAUACAUAUAUAAACAUUCGUACGUUUAGUUCAACAGCGAUGUUUGAUUUCGCCGAAUCAGGCCGAAACGGAUAAUAUAAAUGGACCUUAAUGCGUUACGCGUUAUUGUUACACGAAAAUUUUCCUUUCGUAACACGGAACAAUAUUGUUGACGCGCGCGAACAUUUUUUUCCACGUAAGUUCGACGAAAGAAAUAAUUUAACUUUACCACGUGGUAUAAUUAAAACCGGAACAAGCGCUUUUGUAAUGCCGAUCGUUAAUCACCGUCCGAGUUGUCCGAAGUUACGAUCUAUCAUUAUCAAUAUUCAGUGUAAUUAGCUGUUCGUUUCUAAAGCGUUGAGAAAUUUUUUCCGAGAACGCCGCGGGUUAGCGAAGAACGUUCAAUGGAUCUGGCUUCGGUUAUUACGCGGCGGCGUCGUUAAACGGAGGUAGACGUUAAGAUUAAGGAACACAACUGAACAGAUUUUAGGUAAAUGUUUGUGCAGUAAAGCUUAGAAGCCGGACAAAAGCGAUUGCCUGGUUAAAUCGCUUGACGUAGAACUCUGCGCCACGUGUGGCUUAGCCGACUAAGCUUGAUGCACAAAUGUGUGACACUAUGUGUGACCCGGAUAGAUAUCAUUUUAUACAGGAUGAGUCUAAAUGAAUGUUCCAAAAGUUUAUGGUUACAUUUUAUCGUGGCGGGAUCUAGAAAAGUGCACGAAGCAAUUUUUCUCCCGGAUGGGAACGGUUUACCGGGCGAUAUCAAACGUGGCCGCCGCGAUUUACCAUGUCUCGACGCUUAAAGCAAAUAAGUUUUCUCUUUUUUUGUUUUCGAACGAUAAAAUCGGAUACACCGAAUUAGACGAUUCGAAAUUUCCGGAGAAAUGUUAUGGAACGGAGAAAACGGAUGGCGCGCGCGCGAAUAAAUUAAAUGUUAAAACGCUGUGGGUUUAACGUGCUCGGUGUAAUUACAUAACGACACAUUCUAAUGAUGAUAAUUAAUUGGGGUAAUCGAUAUGCGACAGUCGUUCAACAAGCUCGAUAAUCUAAAUACUAUUUAAGCGUCCGAUAUCUAUUUAAUUUGCGACAAUUUGUUUCGCUUUGACGCGAUAAAUCUUUCCUAUAAUCAAUUGGUUGUUACAUGCAUUGUUGUAAUUAAUCGCUAAUCUCUCCUGGAACCGCGUUUCAAUUUUCAAUCGAACCGGAUACAUACCUUGGGCCACGGGUAUUGUCCAACAAUUAUUUAUCUCGAUAUAUUUAUCUAUUUGAUGUCGGCCAUGAUUCUCCGUAGCAAAGUACCCGCCCGGCGAUGCAUGAUUCACGGUGGAACUGAUAAAGGCUAUUUUGGCAACAAGAAGCUCGCUGACCCACGUUUAUCAAAAUGUUUUUGUUGCAGCCGAACGAGCAAAAUGUACCGCAAACUUUCCGACAACUUCAAUUCGUCUUGCAUAAUGAUACUCUUUCUUUGGUUACAUCAAUACCCUGGACGGAUAAUCUAUUUCGCUGGAAAGAUACGUUUGCUUCGAUCAUGGGCGACAGCGGGAUAAAAUAUCCGCAGUCGAACCAGAGCAAAACGGCGGAACGAUCCCUUUAUUAUCAAUUCGUCGUGGUGAAAAUUCUGCUUUGUUUGACAGAAACAACGAAAGAAAUAUGAAAAAAACGUGAUCCGUGUUUCUUUAAAUACAGUAAUUAAUUCAAAUAGAAAUCAGCACACUGCCAGUGCGAACGCAGACCAAAACUUUAUGACCAUGAUCCAACGAGCCGAACUUGUAAUGAAAUUAUCAUGCGUAAUCUACUGAAUAUAAAUGUUACUAACAA